CCUGAGUCACCCGCUUCCUGCUCCUGGUCUGGGCGACUCCAUGCACAGGCUGACACAGCUGGGGCCCCACCUGCCCUGCCAGCCUGUCCCGCUCCUCCCUCUUUCCACAAGCCAGGAGAGAUGCCUGCCCUGACAAGGCAUGCUUCCCACGGAGAGGCCAUCCCUCUCACGCGCACACACGGCUGGAGGCAGCCAUUUCUCCCUGACCUGUGGAGAGCCUUGGGAAGAGGAAGAAGGCAUAGUCUAAGCGGAGCCCCCUUUUCCCUGCAUCUAGGAAUUUGAGAGUUGAGAUCCUUGAAUAUUUCAUCAGCACUUCAGCCUCCAGUGGAAGCAGCAGCCAACUUACAUCUCCUGGAGCAUUUAUGGCCCCAACAGAGAACCUGGAAGUAGC
rnacentral:lncRNA from 10 species